AGGACUAACGCUGGCGGCGUGCCUAACACAUGCAAGUCGAACGAGAGUAGCAAUACUCUAGUGGCAGACGGGUGAGUAACACGUGGUCAACCUUCCCUAGCGUGGGGGAUAACUAGCCGAAAGGUUAGCUAAUACCGCAUGACAUCGUCGAGUGGCAUCAUUUGACGAUCAAAGGAGCAAUCCGCGCAAGGACGGGACCGCGUCCCAUUAGCUAGUUGGUGAGGUAACGGCCCACCAAGGCUUCGAUGGGUAGCUGGUUUGAGAGAGCGACCAGCCACACUGGGACUGAGACACGGCCCAGACUCCUACGGGAGGCAGCAGUGAGGAAUUUUCCGCAAUGGGCGAAAGCCUGACGGAGCGACGUCGCGUGUGGGAAGAAGGCCUUCGGGUCGUAACCACUGUCGAAGGGGAAGAUAUUGACGGUACCUUGGAGGAAGCCCGGCUAACUACGCGCCAGCACGCCGC
rnacentral:rRNA from 1 species